CUCCAGGUAAGAGGCACGGCUGCAAUUCAAGGACACAUUUGCAACCAGGCGAAGACGCUCAAGAAGACCCAGGAGCCAAAGUCUGCAAAGCAACACGGCGCAGAUAAAACGCGAAAAGCUAAAAACAUAUGCGAGAUCAUUGUUGGCAAGUAAUCAAACAAUAACAGAAUCCGAGCGAUAUCGCAAAAAUCUAUUGAAAAUGGAGAUAACAGAGGCAGUAAAAACAUCGCUGCGUUUUUAUCUCCUUAAAAGCAGUCAGUUGGAACAAGAAAGUCUUCAUCUGCCAGCAAAUGGACAGCAAGGAAGGAGCCAGCCUGGCUUCCCUAAGCAGGGAGUUCCAAAGUUGCCUGAGAGGAGCCACCACCAAGAAGGCCCUGCCCAUGUUCCCUGUAAGCAUAAAGCAGCCUUCUCUAUUUUAUCUGUGUUUUUGUAUUUUAUCUGCAAGCCACAGAUUGAGCCCUGGCCUGGAGAAAAGGCAGGAUUAUUAUUAUUAUUAUUAUUAUUAUUAUUAUUAUUAUUAUUAUUAUUUGUGUGGUUGCCCCUGUUCUGGCAACUGCAAUCCACAGUCUCAAGGCAUUUUUGUCCUGGUGGGAUUUCCCAGUUUGGAUAAAUGGGUCUUUUUACCACGAGUGUCUUAUUUGGUUUUCAGUGGUACCUUGGUUCUCAAAUGCCUUGGUACUCAAACAACUUGGAACCCAAAGAUUGCAAACCCGGAAGGAAGCUUUCCGGUUUGUGAACUUUUUUCAGAAGCCGAACAUGCUCUGAUUUGAGUGCCACACUUCCGAUUUGAGUGUUACGCUGAGGUCUGUCUCUUUUUGCUAUUUAUUUUGCAUUUUUGUUUUUGCGGCUCUUUUUGUUUUGUUUUUGUGACUGUGUGGAACCCAGUUCAGCUACUGAUGGCUUGAUUGUGUGACUGCAGUACACUGUUUAUUGCUUUCAUUUUAUGGAUCAACGGUCUCGUUAGAUAGUAAAAUCCAUGUUAAAUUGCUGUUUUUUAAAGCCUGGCACACAUUAAUCCAUUUUGCAUUCCUUUCUAUGGGAAAGCUCGCAUUGGUUUUGGAACGCUUUGGUUUUGGAACGGACUUCAGGAAUGGAUUAAGUUUGAGAAGGAUACCUGAAGGAGCGUCUCCACCCGCAUUGUUCUGCCCGGACACUGAGGUUCAGCACCGAGGGCCUUCUGGCGGUUCCCUCGCUGUGAGAAGCCAAGUGACAGGGAACUAGGCAGAGGGCCUUCUCGGUGGUGGCACCUGCCCUGUGGAACGCCUUUCCAUCAGAUGUCAAGGAAAUAAACAACUAUCUUUACUUUUAGAAGACAUCUGAAGGCAGCCCUGUUUAGGGAAGCUUUUAAUGUUUAAUAGAUUAUUGUAUUUUAAUAUUCUGUUGCGUCGGUGUGAAAUUUUCGGCAGCCAUUUAAAAUGGCUCAAAAACUGGUUUUUUGGUGGGGGGGAUGCUGAAGAACUUGACUCCCCCCCCCCCAAAAAAAGGUCAAUAACUUUUGUGUCCAGAUUUUAACUUCUUGAAAUAACUGGGCUGGAUUGAGGGACCGAGAAAUCGCAACGUUAAAAAAUUGCAUCUCUCGGAAGCUUUACCAGAGGCAACAGCAGAGAAUAUUAUUAUUAUUAUUAUUAUUAUUAUUAUUAUUAUUAUUCCCCACUUUUUUCCUGAUGGGAUUCAAGGCGGCUUACAGACAAAAAUAAGAUCCCCCAAAACCAGUCUUUUAAAACAUUGAUGGGAUUAAAACUAUAUGCAUCAAUAAAAUCUUCCAAGUUCCAAAAGCUUUCCUUGCCACAUAUAUUUAACCCUGCGUUUAUUUGAACGGAAACGUCCCCCUAAUCCCUGGACGUUUAUAGUUCUAUAAAACAUGACGGACAUCCCUUUUAUUAUUUCGGAUUUUAUUGCGCUGGACUAGCCCUUUAAAAGGGGGGGGAAAGCAGCCAGAUUCUGAACCAACAAGUACACGUUUGGGGGAAAAUAUUCUUAUUUUAUUAUCCAAGAGCUUGACGGGUGGAAGGAAGGAAGGCAGGUUGCAGCCGGUUUGCCAGACCAAUCCAAAUAACUUUAUUGUGCUGCUUGCAUUUUUGCAUUUCAAGUAUUGAUCUGGCACACUUAUUGAUUUAAAAUCGCAUGCGUGACCUAGAUGCCCCCCCCCUACAGUGGUACCUUGGUUCUCAAACGCCUUGGUUCCCAAAUGCCGAAAACCCAGAAAUAAGUGUUCUGGUUUUCAAACGUUUUUCGGAAGCCAAACAUCCAAUACGGCUGUCGGCUGUUGUUUCCGGGGCGCAUGUAUGGUUUCCAAACAUUUUGGAAGUCAAACGGACUUCCAGAACGGAUUAAGUUCAAGAACCAAGGUACCACUGUAUUUGGCUCUUUAGGUUUUGCUAUUUAUUUUGUGUUAUUAUUUCUGAGGCUUUUUCGGUUCAUUUGUUUUUGUGACUGUGCGGAACCCAGUUCAGCUGAUUGAUUGAUUGUGCGACUGCGGAAACUGAUAAAAGCUCCCCAUCGAAACAAUGACUAUCAUCAGAGCAAAUCUCACCAACUAAAAUUACAAUAAAACCCCCCACAAAAUAAAUCCUGGGGAGAGAUUCCACAAAAGGGGAGCCACCACAGAAAAGGCCCUGUCUUUUCCAGCUCUUUCAGCUAAGAAUCUGGAGACGAAAGGGAUUGAAACCGGGGUCUUCUGCGUGAAAAACAGGCCGCCUUCCACCUGCUUCAAGGCCUUAAAAAUAAGGAUUCUAGUCCUCGUGGUUCUGGAUAAACAGAAACGUUGUUGUUUAGUCGUUUAGUCGUGUCCGACUCUUCGUGACCCCAUGGACCAGAGCACACCAGGAACAUAGGCCCUGCUUAUACCAAGUCGGACCGCUGCACUGCAGCUCAGUAUUGCCUUCCCCGCCUGGUAGCAUCUGUCCAGGGGUGCGGGCAGAGAGAUGCUCUUCCAACGUGCAAAAAAGACCUGGAGACUAAACCCAGAGCCUUCUGCAUGCCAAACAGAUGUCCUCCCACUUGCCCUUCCUUUAAAACAAACUAAGUGUCCAGUCCUCAAGGGAAUAAAUGUUUUCAAACAGAGGCCUUUUCCCGGCCCGACCCGAAGACGCCAGAGAUCGAACCUGGGGCCUUCGAAAUGCCAAGCAGGUGCUCUCCCACCGAGCCACCCAGAGGGGAUCAAGGAAGGGAGCCUUUCGCCGAAAUCCCCGAGCUGCAGACGGACACACUCUGAGCCGGCACUGUCGCAGUGUUCAGUUUCACUCCACAUCCUCGCUUUGUACGUGUGCAGAAACUGUGUUUCCCCCCCAACAAGCUUUUCAGCUGUGUGUAUGUGUGUAUUUGUGUACGUAUGGGUAUCUGACUGUCCCACCAGCGACAAUGAGUUUUCCUUGGCGUGGGCUGAGCAUCACACUUUUUUUUUUUCGGGGGGAAGGGGGCUAAAACCCCACCACCUCCUUGGACAAAACUCUCACCCUGAAGAGGAAAUGUAAACUUCCUGUAUCAGGAGUGGAGCAUUUCCGUGCUUCCCUGAACCACCAAGAAACAUCACCUCCUGUCUUUUCAGGGGGACGGAUGAGAUUCGUUCCAAGAAUGAAAGCUAAAUUUUGCGUUUACAACCCUCGAGGGUCUGGUGUGUGUGUGCUUGUGUGUGUGUGCAGGGAAAUCCACUUUCUCCUUUCCACUUUCUCCUUUUCUGGUCUCAGCAGACGCACAGCCACCUUUUCCCGCCCACACCAAAUGUUCCUCUGCAAGCUGGAGAAAGUUCGGAGGACCGAAACACCAAAUUUCGAUGGCCGGGAAAGUCCUCCUUGCGGAAAUUUAAUAGGGCCAUCCAGCCAACUAAGGCCUUUUUUUAAAAAAAAAGAGUGGGAGAAAGAAUUAAAAUAAAGCUUUUAAGGCUUUUAAAGCAAUCCCCCCCCUUGUUUGGAGAGAUUUCUGGCAAAGAUCUGAGUGAUCUGGCAAUGGGCCACAGUUGGAGGAUGAGAGCAGGCCACCCUCACGACUUUCUAACAUUAAUUAUUGGGAUUAAAAAGAAGGAAGAAUUCACUGUAGAGAAUUUACUUUGAUCAAGAUUUCUCAUUGUUCUUAAGACAAAGCAGCAGGGUUUUUUUUUGUGUGUGUGUGUGUGUACGGAUAUGGGAGAGAUUUGCCCUUGUUUUGGCAUGUAGGAAUAUCUCGCCAUUUCCAACUUUGCAAGGUUUACACACUCAGUCUUAAUUUCCAUUCCCAAACUUCCAUUUUUCUCUAUUGU